rnacentral:misc_RNA from 1 species
GAAAUCCGCCGAGAUCACCUCGUCGAACCGGGUUUCAUUCUCCACAACGAGGGCGCGCAGCCGGGCAAGCCGGUCGCGGCGCUCCGCAAGGGAAGGUUCUGCCGUGCGCGACAGCGCCACGGCACGGCGGAAAACAUCCUCGANNNNNCUGCGGCGGGAUUCCUGACGGCCUGAUUCAUUCGGUGUCCCUUGGAUCCUCGUGGUCGGCUUUAGCGCCGGGCCUUGUUUUGGAUUGACCGAAGGCUGAUCUGUCGCGGCCUUGUUGGCANNNNNNNGCGCAGAAACGCCAUAGCAUCAAUCCCUUGGACGGCCGUCAUAAAAUCGUGAAAAAGAUCGCCCGCAGGCCUUUCCAAAGCGGGGUGUCGUUGGUACAUACCCCUGGCACCACGGGCGCUUUGCCCUGGUAGCCUUCUCUCGCCUCCGGACGGGUUGGAACGACGCCUUUGGCGUUGAAC